GACAGAGGGUGCAAACGUUGUUCGGAAUUACUGGGCGUAAAGGGCUCGUAGGUGGCCAACUAAGUCAGACGUGAAAUCCCUCGGCUUAACCGGGGAACUGCGUCCGAUACUGGAUGGCUUGAGUUCGGGAGAGGGAUGCGGAAUUCCAGGUGUAGCGGUGAAAUGCGUAGAGAUCCGGAAGAACACCGGAGGCGAAGGCGGCUUGCUGGGCGUAGUCUGACGCUGAGGCGCGAAAGCGUGGGGAGCGAACAGG
rnacentral:rRNA from 1 species